AGUAAUUACUUAUAAUAUUAAUAUUUUCAUUAUGUUUCGACCGACUAGAAGUUUAAUGAUAACGUUACGGCAAGUUAAAGAUUGUCGUUCUUUAAGUAGGUUUAGUCAACAAUUUUCAGAAAUCACCGAAUACGAAUCUCCUAUCACCGAUGAAUAUAAGAGAGGACCUUUGGAAGGUAGAUCGCUUUAUUUAGAUGCUCAAGCUACAACACCUAUGGACCCACGAGUAUUGGAUAAGAUGAUGUUAUAUUUUACUUCUUAUUAUGGAAAUCCACAUUCUAGAACCCACAUGUAUGGAUGGGAAACAGAAGCUGCAAUAGAACAUGCUCGUAAACAAGUGGCAGAUCUGAUAGGUGCCGAUAAAAAAGAGAUUAUUUUUACGUCUGGUGCAACAGAAUGCAAUAAUAUUGCUGUAAAGGGCGUAGCAAGGUUUUAUAAAUCAAGAAAAAAUCAUGUUAUAACAACACAAACUGAGCACAAAUGUGUAUUAGAUUCAUGCAGAGCCUUGGAGGCAGAAGGAUUUGACGUGACAUAUCUACCAGUUAAAUCAAAUGGACUUAUCGAUAUCGAUCAAUUAGAAGCCGCUAUUACGCCUGCCACAUCGCUCGUUUCUGUAAUGACGGUUAAUAAUGAAAUUGGUGUUAGACAACCCAUCGAACAGAUUGGUGCUAUUUGCAGAAAGAGAAAGGUUUUUUUUCAUACCGAUGCAGCUCAAGCCGUUGGCAAGAUACCGCUUGAUGUUAAUGCGAUGAACAUUGAUCUCAUGUCUAUUAGUGGUCAUAAAAUAUAUGGACCCAAAGGUAUUGGAGCACUCUAUGUAAGACGAAGGCCACGUGUUCGCAUUGAAGCGUUACAAAGCGGAGGUGGACAGGAACGAGGUAUGAGAAGCGGAACUGUUCCAGCACCUUUGGCUGUUGGGCUUGGUGCUGCUUGUGACUUGGCACGAUCAGAAAUGGAGUAUGAUCAUAAAUAUAUUACGAAUCUUUCAAAUAUCUUGAUCGAAAAACUUAUGUCUAAUUUACCACAAGUUGUACGCAAUGGGGACUCAAUUGCUUGGUAUCCUGGAUGCGUUAAUUUGUCAUUUGCAUGUGUAGAAGGAGAAUCAUUACUAAUGGCACUGAAAGAAAUAGCCUUAAGUAGUGGUUCUGCAUGCACAAGUGCAAGUUUAGAACCUAGUUACGUGUUAAGAGCAAUUGGAGCAUCGGAAGAUCUGGCGCACUCUAGUAUCAGAUUCGGUAUUGGCCGGUUUACUACGCUGGAGGAAAUCGAAUAUACUGCAAAACAUACGAUUGAAGAAGUUAAGAAACUUCGCGAUAUGAGUCCCUUGUGGGAGAUGAUUGAAGAUGGAAUCGAUUUAAAAACUAUCAAAUGGACUCAGCAUUAGUUUUUUCUUCUUCGUCAGCGUGUGAGUUAGAAGGCUCAUAUAUCGAGAUAAGCAGAGAGAAUUAAGCGUAGAGAUGAGCGCAGAAAACAGAGACAGAGCGUAAAAAAUGUACGGAAACGUUCCUACGAUUAAUCUCCACCUACGGGCUACCUACGCAUCAGGUGCAUAUAUAUGCAAACUGUCUAAAUCAUCUAUUCCAUUCAAUUGUAGACCGAGGAUGGUGAAAUAUAGAUUGAGCUUUAAUGCGUCGUUAAUGUCACUUAAAAAUUGAAAUACUUGAAUUACCCGUUGCAUUAUACAUAAAAAUUCGAUUGGAAAAUAUUCGGAUAUUGUAUGAAUUAACAAUUAAAAUCGCAUGGUAAAGGAUAAGGAUAAGAGAGAGAGAGAGA